CCCUUAGAUGUUCUGGGCCGCACGCGCGCUACACUGAUGCAUUCAACGAGCCUAGCCUUGACCGAGAGGUCCGGGUAAUCUUUGAAACUGCAUCGUGAUGGAGCUAGAUUAUUGCAAUUAUUAAUCUUCAACGAGGAAUGCCUAGUAAGCGUGAUUCAUCAAAUCGCGUUGAUUACGUCCCUGCCCUUUGUACACACCGCCCGUCGCUCCUACCGAUUGAGUGUGUUGGUGAGGAGUUCGGAUUGGCUCUUAGUGGUGGUUCGCCACCACCUAGAGCUGAGAAGUUCUCCAAACCGCCCCACUUAGAGGAAGGAGAAGUCGUAACA
rnacentral:rRNA from 1 species